UACGUAGGGGGCAAGCGUUGUCCGGAAUUAUUGGGCGUAAAGAGCGUGUAGGCGGCCAGAUAAGUCCGCUGUGAAAUCUCGAGGCUCAACUUCGAGCUGUCGGUGGAAACUAUCUGGCUAGAGUCCGGAAGAGGAGAAUGGAAUUCCUGGUGUAGCGGUGAAAUGCGCAGAUAUCAGGAGGAACACCAGCGGCGAAGGCGCCGCUCUGGGCCGUAACUGACGCUGAGGAGCGAAAGCAUGGGUAGCAAACAGG
rnacentral:rRNA from 1 species